AGAACGAACGCUGGCGGCAUGCCUAACACAUGCAAGUCGAACGAGACCUUCGGGUCUAGUGGCGCACGGGUGCGUAACGCGUGGGAAUCUGCCCUUGGGUUCGGAAUAACAGCGAGAAAUUGCUGCUAAUACCGGAUGAUGACGUAAGUCCAAAGAUUUAUCGCCCAAGGAUGAGCCCGCGUAGGGUAUACGUCGUUGGUUGGUAGGUAAGGUAAGGACGU
rnacentral:rRNA from 1 species